UCGUAGUGGGGGACAACCGUGGGAAACUACGGCUAAUACCGCAUGAUCCGCGUAGGGACGGAACGACGAACGAAGCCGUUGAGGAGGAGCCUGCGUCUGAUUAGGUAGUUGGUGGGGUAAAGGCCUACCAAGCCUGCGAUCAGUAGCUGGUCUGAGAGGAUGAUCAGCCACACUGGGACUGAGACACGGCCCAGACUCCUACGGGAGGCAGCAGUGGGGAAUAUUGGACAAUGGGCGCAAGCCUGAUCCAGCAAUGCCGCGUGGAUGAAGAAGGUCUUCGGAUUGUAAAGUCCUUUUGGCAGGGACGAUGAUGACGGUACCUGCAGAAUAAGCUCCGGCUAACUUCGUG
rnacentral:rRNA from 1 species